GAACCUUAAGAAGGCUGCAGAUAGGAUGUCCUGGACUAUGAUCAAAUCCAUACAGAUGUGCUUUAAAACUCCUCCGACAAGACUGAUUUCAGAGUUUCAAUUUCGUGACAAAUACUAUCAAGUACCAUACCCAUACAUUGGAGCCGGGCAUUGUACGUGUCUACAGUGUGCUAUGAAUUCAGUUGGAGAAUACUGAGUAUCGACUCUAUCAAUUGCAAGAUUUUGACCUAUCAUUCUGAGAUGGUCAGGUUCUGCAGGGAAACUCAAUCCAAUCUAUGUAUACAUCAGAGGUUAUGCCUGGCAAGCAUGGUCAGAUAUUGGUCUAAGAACACAAGAAAUGGACUUGUGAUGCCAAAGUGGCAAC